rnacentral:lncRNA from 1 species
GGGGACCACAGCGGGUCACCGACCGAGGGCAGGGUGGGCGGAGAGGGGCGGCUGACACCCAGGAGGCGGAGUUGGGGUGCGGGACCGCAGAGGUGCUGGAUCGAGCUUGGAUGGAGUCUCGCUCUGUUGCCCAGGCUGGAGCACAGUGGCACGAUCUUGGAUCACUGCAAGCUCCACCUCCCGGGCCUCAGUCUGCAGAGACACAGAAGCAAAUGAUUGUAUGAAGCUCCUGACUGUAUGAAGUUCUCAGUCAAACAAAAUAGUACCUCUUCUGCCCAUCUCAGAGGUGGAUAAGGAUAAAGUGAAAUAAUGGAAAGCACAAGGAACAGUAAAAGGCAAAUGUCAAGAAGCUGUUUGCAAAGUUACCAAGAUGUAAAAUUAGAUUUUACUUAUUAAUAAUCAUGUCACUUGUCAUUCUGUUUAUAAUGGUCAAUUCACUGCUGAUAUUCAAGUGGACCGUUUAAACUGUAUUUUUGCUCAGCUAUCCCUCCAAAUAAAUAUCUCAAAAUCUUGACUGUUUAUUUUCUUAGCCCAUCUUAUUUUCCCAGGCCUCAAAGCGUGGCUUCUCAAAUCCCUGGCUUGUCUUCUGAUUCUGGCCAGUCUAGGUGGGGUCUGGCUUCAGUUUGUACAGAUUCUCACUCCCAAUCUCAUAUUGGUCAAACAAACCCAGAAGUAAGAUCUACACGUAUUAAUCAACCAUUCUCAGACCAGGAUUGGAAUAAUUUGAAAAAGUGAACUCUGGCUGGGUGCCGUGUUCACACCUGUAAUCCCAGCACUUUGGGAGGCUGAGGCGGGUGAAUCACGAGGUCAGGAGAUUGAGACCAUCCUGGCCAUCAUGGUGAAAUCCAUCUCUACUAAAAUUACAAAAAUUAGCUGGGUGUGGUGGCGCGUGCCUGUGAUCCCAGCUACUCGGGAGGCUGAGGCAGGAGAAUCGCUUGAACCAGGGAGACGGAGGUUGCAGUGAGCUG